GAUGGAUGUGCAUGCAUUGUUGUAAAUGGGGAUGUUGUCGCUCAAGGCUCACAAUUCUCAUUGAGGGACGUUGAGGUCAUCGUAUCUCAAGUUGAUCUUGAUGCGGUUGCGAGUCUUCGAGGAUCUAUAAGUAGUUUUCA